AACGAACGCUGGCGGCAUGCCUAACACAUGCAAGUCGAACGAGACCUUCGGGUCUAGUGGCGCACGGGUGCGUAACGCGUGGGAACCUGCCUUUAGGUUCGGAAUAACUCAGAGAAAUUUGAGCUAAUACCGGAUAAUGUCUUCGGACCAAAGAUUUAUCGCCUUUAGAUGGGCCCGCGUAAGAUUAGCUAGUUGGUGGGGUAAAGGCCUACCAAGGCGACGAUCUUUAGCUGGUCUGAGAGGAUGAUCAGCCACACUGGGACUGAGACACGGCCCAGACUCCUACGGGAGGCAGCAGUGGGGAAUAUUGGACAAUGGGCGAAAGCCUGAUCCAGCAAUGCCGCGUGAGUGAUGAAGGCCUUAGGGUUGUAAAGCUCUUUUACCCGAGAUGAUAAUGACAGUAUCGGGAGAAUAAGCUCCGGCUAACUCCGUGCCAGCAGCCGCGGAAU
rnacentral:rRNA from 1 species